rnacentral:rRNA from 1 species
GACAGCGGGUGCACACGUUGUUCGGAAUUACUGGGCGUAAAGGGCGCGUAGGCGGCGUGGUAAGUCACUUGUGAAAUCUCUGAGCUUAACUCAGAACGGCCAAGUGAUACUGCUGUGCUAGAGUGCAGAAGGGGCAAUCGGAAUUCUUGGUGUAGCGGUGAAAUGCGUAGAUAUCAAGAGGAACACCUGAGGUGAAGACGGGUUGCUGGGCUGACACUGACGCUGAGGCGCGAAAGCCAGGGGAGCAAACGGG